GUCCUUUAGAUUUCAUAAUUUAAGGUCUAACCUGCCCAUUGAAAAUUUUAAAAGGCCGCAGUAUUUUGACUGUGCAAAGGUAGCAUAAUCAUUAGUUUUUUAAUUAAAAGCUUGUAUGAAUGGUUGGACGAGAUAAAAUCUGUCUUUUAUUAAAAAUUAGAAUUUAAUUUUUAAGUUAAAAAGCUUACAUUUAAGUAAAAGACGAGAAGACCCUAUAGAUCUUUAUAAAAUUUUUUAGGAUAUUAAUUAAGAUUAGUUAAUUUAUUAUAAAAAAUUUUAUUUUAUUGGGGUAAUAAAAAGAUUAAAAAAAUUCUUUUUUAUGAAAUAUAAAUAAAUAGAUUUUUGAUCCAUUAUUAAUGAUAAUAAGAUUAAGUUACCUUAGGGAUAACAGCGUAAUUUUUUUAGAGAGUUCAUAUCGAUAAAAAAGAUUGCGACCUCGAUGUUGGAUUAAAAUUAAUUCUAGGUGUAGAAGUUUAGAAGAUAGGUCUGUUCGACCAUUUAAUUUUU
rnacentral:rRNA from 1 species